UGGUCAAGUUAUUAAGGGAGCAGGGCGGAUGCCUUGGCACUAGGAGCCGAUGAAGGACGUGAUAAGCUGCGAUAAGCUUCGGGGAGUUGCACGUAAACUUUGAUCCGAAGAUUUCCGAAUGAGGAAACUCACUUAGAGUAAUGUCUAAGUAUCAUUAAGUGAAUACAUAGCUUAAUGAGGGGAACUCAGGGAACUGAAACAGCUAAGUACCUGAAGGAAGAGAAAGAAAUUCGAUUCCGUAAGUAGCGGCGAGCGAACGCGGAUUAGCCCAAACCAAUAAAGUUUUCUUUAUUGGGGUUGCGGACAUAUCAUAACGAAGAGGUAUCGUAAUUGAAGAGGUUUGGAAAGACCCACCACAGAAGGUAAUAUUCCUGUAUGUUAAACGAGAAGACUUUAGAUAUGAUCCAGAGUACCACGGGACACGUGAAACCCUGUGGGAAGCAGGAGGGACCACCCUCCAAGGCUAAAUACUACCUAGUGACCGAUAGCGUAUAGUACCGUGAGGGAAAGGUGAAAAGAACCCCGGGAGGGGAGUGAAAUAGAACCUGAAACCCUGCACUUACAAGCUGUGGAAGCACAUUUCUUGUGUGACCGCGUACUUUUUGUAGAACGGGCCAACGAGUUACGUUAAGUAGCAAGGUUAAGCACUUAAGGUGCGGAGCCGUAGCGAAAGCGAGUUUUAACUGAGCGUUCAGUUACUUGACGUAGACCCGAAACCGGGCGACCUACCCAUGAGCAGGAUGAAGCGAAAGUAAAAUUUCGUGGAGGUCCGAACCCACGAGCG
rnacentral:rRNA from 1 species